rnacentral:rRNA from 1 species
AGAGUUUGAUCCUGGCUCAGAACGAACGCUGGCGGCGUGGAUAAGACAUGCAAGUCGAACGAGACUUUUCGUUGUAGCAAUACGAUGGAAAGUUUAGUGGCGAACGGGUGCUUAACACGUGGGCAACCUGCCAUGAAGUGGGGGAUAGCUCGCCGAAAGGCGAAUUAAUACCGCAUGUGAUUAGAGAGGACAUCCUUUCAAAAUUAAAGUCGGGGCAACCUGACGCUUCUUGUGGGGCCCGCGGCCUAUCAGCUAGUUGGUGAGGUAACGGCUCACCAAGGCUUUGACGGGUAGCUGGUCUGAGAGGACGACCAGCCACACUGGGACUGAGACACGGCCCAGACACCUACGGGUGGCAGCAGUCGAGAAUUUUUGACAAUGGGGGAAACCCUGAUCGAGCGACGCCGCGUGGAGGAUGAAGGUCUUCGGAUUGUAAACUCCUGUCAUUUGGGAACAAGGUGCACACGUUAACUGCGUGCGUAUUGAUAGACCAGAAGAG